rnacentral:rRNA from 1 species
AUGGAAGCAGCAGCCGACGCCGGCGGCGUGCUGGAGGUGGUGGUGUUCCCAUGGCUGGCGUUCGGGCACAUGCUCUCGUUCCUCGAGCUGUCCAAGCGCCUGGCGGCUCGUGGCCACGCCGUCACCUUCGUCUCCACGCCGCGGAACCUCGCCAGGCUCCCGACGGUGCCACCGCACCUGUCGCCUCGCCUCCGCUUCGUGCCACUGCCGCUGCCGCGCGUCGACGGGCUGCCGGACGGCGCCGAGUCCACGGCCGACGUGCCGCCCGAGAAGAUCGAGCUCGUCAAGAAGGCCAUGGACGGGCUCGCGGCCCCGCUAGCCGCGUUCCUCGCGGAUGCCGUCGCUGCUGGCCGGAGACCCGACUGGAUCGUCCAUGACUUCUGCCACCACUGGGUCCCGCCCAUCGCCGGCGAGCACGGUGUGCCGUGCGCCGCGUUCAUGACCGUCUACGCCGCCUUCGUGGUCUUCCUGGGGCCGCGGUGGGCGAACGUCGAGCACCCGCGCGCUGCGACGGAGGACUUCGCCGUCGCGCCCAGGUGGAUCCCGGUCCCGUCCACGAUCGCGUGCCGACGCCGCAGCGAGGCCGAGUCGAUCGCCGCCCUCUUCCGCGCCAACGCGUCCGGCGUGUCCGACAUGGACCGCGUGUGGUUGCUGUUCGAGCGGUGCCGCGUGGCCAUCUACCGGAGCUGCGACGAGCCCGCCAUACCUGCCGGGAUCCUGCUACCUCCCGUGAUCGCCGACGAGGACGGUGACCGUCCUGAGAUCCUGCGUUGGCUCGACGACCAGCCUCCCAAGUCCGUCAUCUACGUCGCUCUGGGGAGCGAGGCGCCGCUGACUCCAGGGAUCCUGCACGAGCUCGCGCUCGCCGGGGUGCGCUUCCUGUGGGCUCUACGCAGGCCGUCCGGGAUGUUCAGCGCCGCCAUCGACGCCGUCACGGACGACGAUCUUCUGCCCGCCGGCUUCGAGGAGCGGACGCGGGGGCGAGGGCUGGUGCGCACCGGGUGGGUGCCGCAGGUGGUGGCGCUCGCGCACGGCGCGACGGGCGCGUUCCUGACGCACUGCGGGUGGGGCUCCACGAUCGAGAGCUUCGCGUCCGGGCACCCACUGGUUAUGCUCCCCUUCGUCCUCGACCAGCCCCUCGUGGCGCGCGCCAUGGCGGAGAAGGGGGUCGGCGUGGAGGUGGCGAGGGACGAGACCGACGGCUCGUUCGACAGGGACGGCGUCGCGGCGGCGGUGCGGCGCGUCAUGGUGGACGAGGAAGGGAAGGCGCUCGCGAGCAACGCCAUGAAGCUGCGAGAGGUUCUCACGGACCAGGGGCGGCAGGAGACGUACAUUGAUGAUCUUGUCGAGCACCUGAGGCGCUACAGAGGCUGCUGCUAG